GACGAACGCUGGCGGCGUGCUUAACACAUGCAAGUCGAACGGAAAGGCCCUGCUUUUGUGGGGUGCUCGAGUGGCGAAGGGGUGAGUAACACGUGAGUAACCUGCCCUUGACUUUGGGAUAACUUCAGGAAACUGGGGCUAAUACCGGAUAGGAGCUCCUGCUGCAUGGUGGGGGUUGGAAAGUUUCGGCGGUUGGGGAUGGACUCGCGGCUUAUCAGCUUGUUGGUGGGGUAGUGGCUUACCAAGGCUUUGACGGGUAGCCGGCCUGAGAGGGUGACCGGCCACAUUGGGACUGAGAUACGGCCCAGACUCCUACGGGAGGCAGCAGUGGGGAAUAUUGCACAAUGGGCGGAAGCCUGAUGCAGCAACGCCGCGUGCGGGAUGACGGCCUUCGGGUUGUAAACCGCUUUCGCCUGUGACGAAGCGUGAGUGACGGUAAUGGGUAAAGAAGCACCGGCUAACUACGUG
rnacentral:rRNA from 1 species